UUGAAUCAAGUUAAAGGUGUAAUGUGCUGAUUGUCCUACAGGUAACCGCAUAAAUCUGUUUUCUUAAAUACACUUAGGGCUUAACCAUUACUCCAGAGCACCCGUAGAUCGAUGAUUUUCAAGGGCUACUUAAGUUAUGAUGCUUUUGGGAAACAGACCGUGAUAUUAAGAUCAGUAGUAUGAUCGUUUUUAUGAACUUCUUAGGCUUACGAUGCUUUUGGGAAACAGAACGUGAUAUUAAGAUCAGUAGUAUGAUCGUUUUUAUGAACUUCUUAGGCUUACGAAGCUUUUGGGAAACUCAGCCCAGUUUUUUUUCAACAUUCAUUCAAAUAGUAAUGUUUAUUUCGUGCUGCAAAUAUUGAAGAGGAAAAUAUAAUUGAUUCAUAUGCAGUUACCAAAUUAUCUCACUAAAUUAAGCAUAAAAAGCGUAAAAAAAGACGUUUAUUGUUGGUACGUAGGUUUUUGCAUAUAUGUCCGGAACUGACUCGCUAUGACAGACUCCCUGUGAUCAUAAGGCUUCAGUAGACAUCAACACAAAAGUAGGCUACUAUAUAGUACCGACUUAUUUUAAUAGACAUAAUACUUGAAAAUGAAAAUGUGUCAAAACAGUUUAAAAAAAUGUCAAAUAGGCAUAUAUAAACGUAUUAAUUAAUUAUCAAUAUAUAGGCUAUUAAUUUGAACAUGUAGAGUAGCCUACAAGAAACUGCUCUUGUAAUAAGGAACUGGUGCUCUGCAUUUAACCCAUCCAAGUGCACACACACAGCAGUGAGAAGUGAACACACACCCGGAGCAGUGGGCAGCUACAGAUCCAGCGCUGGGGAGCAACUGGGGUUUCAGUGCCAGGGUACUGAGUUCAGUCAUGGGUACUGAGGGUGGAAGAGAGUGCUGUUCAUUCACUCACUCCCACCUACAACUCCUGCCAGCACCAAGACUUGAACCGGAUACCUUCUUGUAAGUAGUCCAAGUCUCUAACCAUUAGGCCACAAACUUGUGCAAUCUUCUGUCAAAAUCAAAUUCUCCAGUCAAAAACCCUUACAUGAUCUAUCAAUAUCAAACUUUGGCCUCAGAUGACAAAACCUACAGUACAAAUACACACACUACAAUUGUUUAGCUUCCUUAAAUAUAAUAAGUUAUCUUUACUUAGUUGUUAUACUUACUAGGUUUUAUUAAGUUACACAAUUUGCUAAUUUUAAGGCGAAUAGAACAACAUGCUGCAAUGAGUAAUUCUUUCUUAAAAUAUUCAAGUAGCUACAACAAAACCGAUUACAUUAAUUCACCAGUGAGAGGCAGCAGUGCGCUAAUGUGCAACAGGAACAAAACAACAGAAGAAGAAAUAAGGACGGUGAGCAUGCGCAGCAAGCAAAGUUUUGAAGCUGCGUCGAAUUUGCUUAAACUAAAAAGUAGAAAGACUGUUUACAUUUCACCUCUGGACAAAGAAUGAUUGAUUACUUCUACACAAUAAUAAUAAGGAAAAAAGCUUGUGUCAUCUGUCUUCUCUGAGCAGCGGUCUUGUGAUCACCGGUCUCAGUAUAAUAAAGAGGACACUUCACAUCCUAGAACCCAUAAAAUAAAAGAUUUGACAGAACUACACACCCAUCUGAGGCCUACCUGUUUUAAUUCAUGAUCACCCCGGAUACUUCUACAACUAACCUGCUUGGUGUCUGAUGCUGAUGCAGUCUGGGCACUAGUAUCUGUUGGCUUGCUGACUAUCACUGACGAUGAAGUACUUCUCCAAAUCUUGACCCAGUGUCUUCUACCAUUGUUCAGGGUAGUACUGCAAAGAAUAGUCUCCAGGGUCUGCCUCCAACAUUUGCUUCCCGACCACCAUGUGCUACGCUUGCAUCACUACAUGUGGGUUACUCUGAUACUGUGAAGAAAACCUACAAUAUGAUGCUUGACUUGGGACAGAAAAAAAAAAACAUUGGCAACUUGUGUGGCCAACUCAUUGCCGUAUUUAAAAUCAUUGUACUGCUACCUCCAUUGUUUAACAUAACUAAAAGCAGAUUGUUUUUGCUUUGUUUCAAAAUUUUUGUAAUACGAGUUAAAACUACAUUGAAAAAAAUAUAUCAUCUUUAACUUUGAACUGUCACUACAUUUGAUUUAGGGUAAUUAUGUGUGUGAAGAAUAGAACAUUGUUGUCAUGAAUUUGUAAUAGAUUUUUGAAGUAUUUAAGUUACUAGAGUAAUGGUAACUUUUUUUUUUUUAAAGGCAAUUGGUCAAAACUAGAUUUCUGUUCAAGUAAAUACAACUUAGAAAUUCCAAGUUGCAGGAAAUGUUACUUGAUUUAGCUAAAUUUAAAUGAGUUGUUUGAAAUACGUACAUAGUAUAAUGUACUUAAUUUAGUUGUUGAAAAUAGUGAUUCUGAGUUACACAUUUACAACACUUAUAAAUAAACCUUUGUUAGUACAAAUUACUAUUCUUAUUUCACUUUACUUGUUUUUUUUCAAGGCAAUCGGUUUGCAUACUUUUUUUAAAUAAGGUUUACUCAUUUUAAUUUACAGUGCAGACAAGCUCCCUGCCCAGUGCACACUAGUGAGAUAAAUUCAAAACACUGUAAUUGUAAUAAAGUACUGUAACUAUACUGUGUGAUUCUUUCAGCUCUCUCUCCAGUGCUAGGAUGCAUUUUUAAAGCAGUCACCUGUGCUCCUGUUCAUAAUUUCCUGAGAUGCUACUGAAUGCUUGCUUAUGGAUAAUUGUGUGUUAUUUGAGUUCAUACUGUGACAAUAGAGUUAACUAUUUGAUGUGUUUGUGUUUUAUGAAUGAUACUUUGGAGAAAUCAUUAAAAAAAAUUGUAAUGUGUGUAUAUAUGAAUUAUAUAUGAAUAUUAUAGAAUAUUAUAAUUUCUAAACUACUAAAUUAUUAAAACAUUACAUGAUUGAAGUGUUUACUCAUGGCCCAUGGUCCAUUGUUAAUUUCGAAUUUGGCCUUUGGAUUUAACUAUUAGUGCGUUAAGCCACUUUUCAAUUUAUGUUUUCUGGUGGACAAAACACUUGAACCUAUACAAAUGUUGUCUUUUUGGUUUAUACUGUCCUUAUCUUGGUGCCAUUAGUUAUAUAUGAUGCUUACAAGAAAGCUGUGAAUUGGUUGUUCCUGGUUGUUGUUUUACAUGUGCACUUCUAAAUAACAUUGUAAGUUCAUUGAUUAGAUAUACUGCAGUUUAAUUUUAAUUUUACUCAUCAUAUUUUCGUCAGCAUCCUGAAGAUUAUGAAAUAUUUGGGGAUUUGGAGGAGCUAAUUGUUAUAACAUGCAGGUUUUUCUUUCUUUUUGCUCCCAACAAAAAAAAAAAGGAAAAAAAAAAC